rnacentral:rRNA from 1 species
UGGGGAAUAUUGGACAAUGGGCGAAAGCCUGAUCCAGCCAUGCCGCGUGUGUGAAGAAGGUCUUCGGAUUGUAAAGCACUCUAAGUUGGGAGGAAGGGCAGUAAGCGAAUACCUUGCUGUUUUGACGUUACCGACAGAAUAAGCACCGGCUAACUCUGUGCCAGCAGCCGCGGUAAUACAGAGGGUGCAAGCGUUAAUCGGAAUUACUGGGCGUAAAGCGCGCGUAGGUGGUUCGUUAAGUUGAAUGUGAAAGCCCCGGGCUCAACCUGGGAACUGCAUCCAAAACUGGCGAGCUAGAGUAGGGCAGAGGGUGGUGGAAUUUCCUGUGUAGCGGUGAAAUGCGUAGAUAUAGGAAGGAACACCAGUGGCGAAGGCGACCACCUGGGCUCAUACUGACACUGAGGUGCGAAAGCGUGGGGAGCAAACAGG